rnacentral:rRNA from 1 species
AUUGAACGCUGGCGGCAGGCCUAACACAUGCAAGUCGAGCGGAAACGAAGGGAGCUUGCUCCCAGGCGUCGAGCGGCGGACGGGUGAGUAACACGUGAGAAUCUGCCCAUUAGUGGGGGACAACUCGGGGAAACUCGAGCUAAUACCGCAUAAUCACUACGGGGGAAAGCAGGGGACCUUUUGGCCUUGCGCUGCUGGAUGAGCUCAUGUCGGAUUAGCUUGUUGGUGAGGUAAAGGCUCACCAAGGCGACGAUCCGUAGCUGGUCUGAGAGGAUGGUCAGCCACACUGGGACUGAGACACGGCCCAGACUCCUACGGGAGGCAGCAGUGGUGAAUCUUGGACAAUGGGGGCAACCCUGAUCCAGCCAUGCCGCGUGUGUGAAGAAGGCCUUCGGGUUGUAAAGCACUUUCAGCAGGGAGGAAGGCUUUGGCCGAAUAGGUUGAAGUACUUGACGUUACCUGCAGAAGAAGCACCGGCUAAUUUCGUGCCAGCCGCCGCCGUAA